AGAGUUUGAUUCUGGCUCAGAACGAACGCUGGCAGCGUGGAUUAGGCAUGCAAGUCGAACGUGAAGCCAAUGAUCAAUCUUUCGGGAAAGUGAUUUGGUGGAGAGUGGCGGAAGGGUGAGUAACGCGUGGGUAAGCUACCUCGAAGUUGGGGAUAACUCGAUGAAAAUCAAGCUAAUACCGAAUGUGGUCUCCUGGCGCAUGCCAGGAUGAUUAAAGGCGGGGAUCCUUCGGGACCUGUCACUUUGAGAGGCACCCGCGUGCCAUCAGCUUGUUGGUAGGGUAAUGGCCUACCAAGGCUAACGGCUAGCCGGCCUGAGAGGGUGAUCGGCCACACUGGGACUGAGACACUGCCCAGACUCCUACGGGAGGCUGCAGUCGAGGAUCAUUCGCAAUGCGCGAAAGCGUGACGAUGCGACGCUGCGUGGAGGAUGAAGGCCUUCGGGUCGUAAACUCCUGUCAUGAGGGAAAAGCAACCUUACUCCUAAUAGGGGUAGGGUCCGAUGGUACCUCAGGAGGAAGCCACGGCUAACUCUGUGCCAGCAGCCGCGGUAAUACAGAGGUGGCGAGCGUUGUUCGGAUUUACUGGGCGUAAAGGGUGCGUAGGUGGUUUUGUAUGUCGGGUGUGAAAUCCCAUGGCUCAACUGUGGAAUUGCAUUCGAAACUGCGGAACUAGAGUGCAGGAGGGGAGAGCGGAAUUCUUGGUGUAGCGGUGAAAUGCGUUGAUAUCAAGAAGAACACCGGUGGCGAAGGCGGCUCUCUGGACUGAUACUGACACUGAGGCACGAAAGCUGGGGGAGCAAACAGGAUUAGAUACCCUGGUAGUCCCAGCCGUAAACGGUGCACACUUGGUGUGGGGAGAUUUAACCCUCUCCGUGCCGGAGCUAACGCGUUAAGUGUGCCGCCUGGGGAGUACGGCCGCAAGGCUAAAACUCAAAGAAAUUGACGGGGGCCCGCACAAGCGGAGGAGCAUGUGGCUUAAUUCGAUGCAACGCGAAGAACCUUACCAGGGCUUGACAUGGGGACCCUUCGGGGGUGGGUGCGAAAGUACCCUUUACCAUCACAGGUGCUGCAUGGCUGUCGUCAGUUCGUGCCGUGAGGUGUUGGGUUAAGUCCCGUAACGAACGCAACCCUUGUGGUUAGUUGCCACCGGCGGUGAUGAGCCGUCGAGCACUCUAGCCAGACUGCCCGUGCAAGCGGGAGGAAGGUGGGGAUGACGUCAAGUCAGUAUGGCCCUUACGCCCUGGGCUGCACACGUGCUACAAUGGGCGGCACAAUGGGAUGCAAUACCGCGAGGUGGAGCCAAUCCUUAACGCCGUUCUCAGUCCGGAUUGGAGUCUGCAAUUCGACUCCAUGAAGUUGGAUUCGCUAGUAACGGCGCAUCAGCUACGGCGCCGUGAAUACGUUCCCGGGCCUUGUACACACCGCCCGUCACAUCAUGAAAGCCGUCUGCACCCGAAGUCGCUGAACUAACCCGCAAGGGAGGUAGGCGCCGAAGGUGUGGGUGGUGAUUGGGAUGAAGUCGAAACAAGGUA
rnacentral:rRNA from 1 species